UACAGAGGAUGCAAGCGUUAUCCGGAAUGAUUGGGCGUAAAGCGUCUGUAGGUGGCUUUUUAAGUCCGCCGUCAAAUCCCAGGGCUCAACUCUGGACAGGCGGUGGAAACUACCAAGCUGGAGUACGGUAGGGGCAGAGGGAAUUUCCGGUGGAGCGGUGAAAUGCGUAGAGAUCGGAAAGAACAUCGAUGGCGAAGGCACUUUACUGGGCUAUUACUAACACUCAGAGACGAAAGCUAGGGUAGCAAAUGGG
rnacentral:rRNA from 1 species